rnacentral:rRNA from 1 species
UGGGGAAUUUUGCACAAUGGGCGGAAGCCUGAUGCAGCGACGCCGUGUGGGGGAUGAAGGCCUUCGGGUUGUAAACUCCUUUCGUCAGGGACGAAGUUUGUUUGACGGUACCUGGAUAAGAAGCACCGGCUAACUACGUGCCAGCAGCCGCGGUAAUACGUAGGGUGCGAGCGUUGUCCGGAUUUACUGGGCGUAAAGGGCUCGUAGGUGGUGUGUUGCGUCGUCUGUGUAAUCCAGGGGCUUAACUUUUGGUUGGCAGGCGAUGCGGGUAUUGCUUGAGUGCUGUAGGGGAGACUGGAGUUCCUGGUGUAGCGGUGAAAUGCGCAGAUAUCAGGAGGAGCACCGAUGGCGAAGGCAGGUCUCUGGGCAGUUACUGACGCUGAGGAGCGAGAGCAUGUGUAGCGAACAGG